UACGGAAGGUGCAAGCGUUGUCCGGAUUGACUGGGUGUAAAGGGCGUGUAGGCGGAGGAGUAUGUCGGGAGUGAAAUCGUACGGCUUAACCGUAUCAAUUGCUUCCGAAACUAUUCCCCUUGAGUGCAAGAGAGGCAGAUAGAAUUCCUGGUGUAGCGGUGGAAUGCGUAGAUAUCAGGAAGAAUACCGGAGGCGAAGGCGGUCUGCUGGCUUGUAACUGACGCUGAGGCGCGAAAGUGUGGGGAGCAAACAGG
rnacentral:rRNA from 1 species